UCCUAAUUUGGGCUGGGACUGAAGG
rnacentral:piRNA from 1 species